rnacentral:rRNA from 1 species
CUACGGGCUGCUGCAGUGAGGAAUAUUGCACAAUGGGGGGAACCCUGAUGCAGCAACGCCGCGUGGAGGAUGACGCAUUUCGGUGUGUAAACUCCUUUUAUAUGUCAAGAAAAUGACGGUAGCAUAUGAAUAAGCACCGGCUAACUCCGUGCCAGCAGCCGCGGUAAUACGGAGGGUGCAAGCGUUACUCGGAAUCACUGGGCGUAAAGGGCGCGUAGGCGGGUUGGAAAGUCAGGUGUGAAAUCCUACAGCUUAACUGUAGAACUGCACUUGAAACUUCUAAUCUAGAGUAUGGGAGGGGGAGAUGGAAUUAGUGGUGUAGGGGUAAUAUCCGUAGAUAUCACUAGGAAUACCUAAAGCGAAGGCGAUCUCCUGGAACAUUACUGACGCUAAGGCGUGAAAGCGUGGGGAGCAAACAGGAUUAGAUACCCCUGUAGUC